GGUUAAGCGACUAAGCGUACACGGUGGAUGCCCUGGCAGUCAGAGGCGAUGAAGGACGUGCUAAUCUGCGAAAAGCGUCGGUAAGGUGAUAUGAACCGUUAUAACCGGCGAUGUCCGAAUGGGGAAACCCAGUGUGAUUCGUCACACUAUCGUUAACUGAAUACAUAGGUUAACGAGGCGAACCGGGGGAACUGAAACAUCUAAGUACCCCGAGGAAAAGAAAUCAACCGAGAUUCCCCCAGUAGCGGCGAGCGAACGGGGAGCAGCCCAGAGUCUGAAUCAGCUUGUGUGUUAGUGGAACGGUCUGGAAAGUCCGACGGUACAGGGUGAUAGUCCCGUACACCAAAAUGCACAGGUUGUGAACUCGAAGAGUAGGGCGGGACACGUGGUAUCCUGUCUGAAUAUGGGGGACCAUCCUCCAAGGCUAAAUACUCCUGACUGACCGAUAGUGAACCAGUACCGUGAGGGAAAGGCGAAAAGAACCCCGGCGAGGGGAGUGAAAAAGAACCUGAAACCGUGUACGUACAAGCAGUGGGAGCACCUUCGGGUGUGACUGCGUACCUUUUGUAUAAUGGGUCAGCGACUUAUAUUCUGUAGCAAGGUUAACCGUAUAGGGGAGCCGCAGGGAAACCGAGUCUUAACUGGGCGUUAAGUUGCAGGGUAUAGACCCGAAACCCGGUGAUCUAGCCAUGGGCAGGUUGAAGGUUGGGUAACACUAACUGGAGGACCGAACCGACUAAUGUUGAAAAAUUAGCGGAUGACUUGUGGCUGGGGGUGAAAGGCCAAUCAAACCGGGAGAUAGCUGGUUCUCCCCGAAAGCUAUUUAGGUAGCGCCUCGUGAACUCAUCUUCGGGGGUAGAGCACUGUUUCGGCUAGGGGGUCAUCCCGACUUACCAACCCGAUGCAAACUACGAAUACCGAAGAAUGUUAUCACGGGAGACACACGGCGGGUGCUAACGUCCGUCGUGAAGAGGGAAACAACCCAGACCGCCAGCUAAGGUCCCAAAGUCAUGGUUAAGUGGGAAACGAUGUGGGAAGGCACAGACAGCCAGGAUGUUGGCUUAGAAGCAGCCAUCAUUUAAAGAAAGCGUAAUAGCUCACUGGUCGAGUCGGCCUGCGCGGAAGAUGUAACGGGGCUAAACCAUGCACCGAAGCUGCGGCAGCGACACUAUGUGUUGUUGGGUAGGGGAGCGUUCUGUAAGCCUGCGAAGGUGACCUGUGAGGGUUGCUGGAGGUAUCAGAAGUGCGAAUGCUGACAUAAGUAACGAUAAAGCGGGUGAAAAGCCCGCUCGCCGGAAGACCAAGGGUUCCUGUCCAACGUUAAUCGGGGCAGGGUGAGUCGACCCCUAAGGCGAGGCCGAAAGGCGUAGUCGAUGGGAAACAGGUUAAUAUUCCUGUACUUGGUGUUACUGCGAAGGGGGGACGGAGAAGGCUAUGUUAGCCGGGCGACGGUUGUCCCGGUUUAAGCAUGUAGGCUGAUUGUCCAGGCAAAUCCGGAUAAUCAAGGCUGAGGUGUGAUGACGAGGCACUACGGUGCUGAAGUAACAAAUGCCCUGCUUCCAGGAAAAGCCUCUAAGCAUCAGGUAACAUCAAAUCGUACCCCAAACCGACACAGGUGGUCAGGUAGAGAAUACCAAGGCGCUUGAGAGAACUCGGGUGAAGGAACUAGGCAAAAUGGUGCCGUAACUUCGGGAGAAGGCACGCUGGUGUGUAGGUGAAGUCCCUGCGGAUGGAGCUGAGACCAGUCGAAGAUACCAGCUGGCUGCAACUGUUUAUUAAAAACACAGCACUGUGCAAACACGAAAGUGGACGUAUACGGUGUGACGCCUGCCCGGUGCCGGAAGGUUAAUUGAUGGGGUUAUCCGUAAGGAGAAGCUCUUGAUCGAAGCCCCGGUAAACGGCGGCCGUAACUAUAACGGUCCUAAGGUAGCGAAAUUCCUUGUCGGGUAAGUUCCGACCUGCACGAAUGGCGUAAUGAUGGCCAGGCUGUCUCCACCCGAGACUCAGUGAAAUUGAACUCGCUGUGAAGAUGCAGUGUACCCGCGGCAAGACGGAAAGACCCCGUGAACCUUUACUAUAGCUUGACACUGAACAUUGAGCCUUGAUGUGUAGGAUAGGUGGGAGGCUUUGAAGCGUGGACGCCAGUCUGCGUGGAGCCAACCUUGAAAUACCACCCUUUAAUGUUUGAUGUUCUAACGUUGGCCCCUUACCGGGGUUGCGGACAGUGUCUGGUGGGUAGUUUGACUGGGGCGGUCUCCUCCCAAAGCGUAACGGAGGAGCACGAAGGUUAGCUAAUCCUGGUCGGACAUCAGGAGGUUAGUGCAAUGGCAUAAGCUAGCUUGACUGCGAGCGUGACGGCGCGAGCAGGUGCGAAAGCAGGUCAUAGUGAUCCGGUGGUUCUGAAUGGAAGGGCCAUCGCUCAACGGAUAAAAGGUACUCCGGGGAUAACAGGCUGAUACCGCCCAAGAGUUCAUAUCGACGGCGGUGUUUGGCACCUCGAUGUCGGCUCAUCACAUCCUGGGGCUGAAGUAGGUCCCAAGGGUAUGGCUGUUCGCCAUUUAAAGUGGUACGCGAGCUGGGUUUAGAACGUCGUGAGACAGUUCGGUCCCUAUCUGCCGUGGGCGCUGGAGAAUUGAGGGGGGCUGCUCCUAGUACGAGAGGACCGGAGUGGACGCAUCACUGGUGUUCGGGUUGUCAUGCCAAUGGCACUGCCCGGUAGCUAAAUGCGGAAGAGAUAAGUGCUGAAAGCAUCUAAGCACGAAACUUGCCCCGAGAUGAGUUCUCCCUGAGACUUUAAGUCUCCUGAAGGAACGUUGAAGACGACGACGUUGAUAGGCCGGGUGUGUAAGCGCAGCGAUGCGUUGAGCUAACCGGUACUAAUGAACCGUGAGGCUUAACCUU
rnacentral:rRNA from 1 species